UCGGGGAUCGUUCAAUGGUAGGACUGAGGUUUCUGGUACCUCCAAUCAAGGUUCGAAUCCUUGUCCCCGAACCA
rnacentral:tRNA from 1 species